rnacentral:rRNA from 1 species
GGUGGGGGAGAUGAUUGGGGUUAAGUCGUAACAAGGCAUCGGUACGAGAACGUGUCGAUGGAUUACCUCCUUU